UACGGGGGGAGCAAGCGUUGUUCGGAUUUACUGGGCGUAAAGGGCGCGUAGGCGGCCACCGCAAGUCAGUUGUGAAAGCUCUGGGCUUAACCCAGAAAAGGUCAACUGAUACUGCGGGGCUAGAGUGCAGAAGGGGCAACUGGAAUUCUCGGUGUAGCGGUGAAAUGCGUAGAUAUCGAGAGGAACAGCCUGCGGCGAAGGCGGGUUGCUGGGCUGACACUGACGCUGAGGCGCGAAAGCUAGGGGAGCGAACGGG
rnacentral:rRNA from 1 species